rnacentral:rRNA from 1 species
GAUGAACGCUGGCGGCGUGCCUAAUACAUGCAAGUCGAGCGAACAGACGAGGAGCUUGCUCCUCUGACGUUAGCGGCGGACGGGUGAGUAACACGUGGAUAACCUACCUAUAAGACUGGGAUAACUUCGGGAAACCGGAGCUAAUACCGGAUAAUAUAUUGAACCGCAUGGUUCAAUAGUGAAAGACGGUUUUGCUGUCACUUAUAGAUGGAUCCGCGCCGCAUUAGCUAGUUGGUAAGGUAACGGCUUACCAAGGCAACGAGGCGUAGCCGACCUGAGAGGGUGGUCGGCCACACUGGAACUGAGACACGGUCCAGACUCCUACGGGAGGCAGCAGUAGGGAAUCUUCCGCAAUGGGCGAAAGCCUGACGGAGCAACGCCGCGUGAGUGAUGAAGGUCUUCGGAUCGUAAAACUCUGUUAUUAGGGAAGAACAAAUGUGUAAGUAACUAUGCACGUCUUGACGGUACCUAAUCAGAAAGCCACGGCUAACUACGUG